rnacentral:snRNA from 1 species
GUGCUUCGGCACAAAUGUUAAAAUUGGAAAAAUACAGAGAAGAUUAGCAUGGCCCCUGCGCAAGGAUGACACGCACGUACAAGAGAGCAGCUAGUGAGAUAU